AUUGAACGCUGGCGGCAGGCCUAACACAUGCAAGUCGAACGGACCCUUCGGGGUUAGUGGCGGACGGGUGAGUAACACGUUGGAACGUGCCUUGAGGUUCGGAAUAGCUCCUGGAAACGGGUGGUAAUGACGAAUGCGCCCUUCGGGGGAAAGAUUUAUCGCCUUUAGAGCGGCCCGCGUCUGAUUAGCUAGUUGGUGAGGUAAUGGCUGACCAAGGCGACGAUCAGUAGCGAGUCUGAGAGGAUGACCAGCCACAUUGGGAUUGAGACACGGCCCAGACUCCUACGGUAGGCAGCAGUGGGGAAUCUUGCGCAAUGGGCGAAGGCCUGACGCAGCCAUGCCGCGUUGAUGAUGAAGGUCUUAGGAUUAUAAAAUCCUUUCUCCGGUGAAGAUAAUGACUGUAGCCGGAGAAGAAGCCCCGGCUAACUUCGUGCCAGCAGCCGCCGUAAGAC
rnacentral:rRNA from 1 species